rnacentral:rRNA from 1 species
GACGGAGGGGGCAAGCGUUGUUCGGAUUUAUUGGGCGUAAAGGGCUCGUAGGCGGACUGGUAAGUCUGGCGUGAAAUCUCCACCACUCAACGGGGGAGGAGCCGUCGGGAAACUGCCAGUCUGGAGUACGGUAGAGGACCAUGGAAUUCCAGGUGUAGCGGUGGAAUGCGUAGAUAUCGGAGGAACACCGGUGGGCGAAGG